rnacentral:rRNA from 1 species
CCUACGGAGGGCAGCAGUGAGGAAUAUUGGUCAAUGGCCGGAAGGCUGACGCAGCCAAGUCGCGUGAGGGACGACUGCCCUAUGGGUGGUAAGUCCCUUUGAUAAGGGAAGAGUCCAUGCUACGUGUAGCCUGCUUCCUUUACCUUAUGUAUAGGCGUCGGCUAACUCGGUGCCGUCAGACGCGGUAAUACGGAGGAUGCGACCGUUAUCCGGAUUUGUUGGGUUAAAAGGGUGCGUAGGCGGUGUUUUAAGUUAGUGGGUAAACGUCGGGGCUUCACCUUGAUUUGCCAUUAAUACUGUAAGACUCGAGUUCAGACGAGGUAGGCGGAAUAAGUCAAGUAGCGGUGAAAUGCUUAGAUAU